AUCCACAACAUGCCCAUUUACACCCAAACACACAAAGUGAAGUGAUGACAUUCCCGACAGCACCAGCGGCAAGACAAGAGACCAAUGCAACUCUUCACCACGACUCUCCACAACGCCUCACCAUCAUUUAUUUCAGGCUCAGGCGUGUAGAUGGGAGCAGUAGAAGAAA